GGCUAAACCCAAUUUGCCCUAAGAAAACAAAAUAACAAUAGGUAGCAGGCCAUCAUCUGUUUAGCCUACACAAAACAAAACAAAAAAGAGAAAAUAAAUGAAAUUUUAAAUUGCUUCCAGCCGAACAGUCAGUUGGUCCUCAUAAAUGAUUCUGACUUUUCCUCUGCCCAAGACCACUGAAACGUAAAAGCAUAUCUUCUCAAAUCUUUUCCUUGUCAAUUUGCUUUUCAGAACAGUGCUAUUUCCUACCAUUUCAAGCAUCGCCCCAUAUUACUGAAAGCUGAGGUCUUCCCAUUUUCUUUUACUCUGAAGAACCCAGAUGAUUUGGCUCUGAUUCUCUUCUAGAUGAUCUUAAGGUCUCUCCCUCCAGGUACUGUUCCUCUCCCUUCUUAAGUGUUUCUUUUGCUAGACGAUGGGCUUCUGUGUUUUCUAACCUCGGGAUAAAAUAGAAUCUGAUUUCUUGAUACUGAUCCUUUAAGCUUUGAAUAUCACUGAUUAUUGCCCCUAUUUCUGAUAUGUCUCGACUUGUAUUUUGGCAUUUUGUAAUCACUGUUCUUGAGUCUCCGGUUAUAUCUAAAGUAUGAUAGCCCAACUGAAUCCCUAACCUUAUUGCUUGUAAACCUGCAAAUGCUUCUGCCGCGAAUGGAGAUGCAAUAUUUUCAUGAAGGGUCGACUUUACUGCAACGAUCCUACCUUCCUCAUUUCUAACAACUAGGCCUGACGCAGAUCUGGAAUUCUGUAAGUCGAAAGCCACAUAAAAAAAAAAGAUGGCCUUUUUCGCCCUUUGUAAACUUUGUCUAUGCCUCACACUAGUUUCCACGUUGAGUUCCUUAUCUCUACUCCCUUCCAGUUCCAGAAUAUAGCUUUUUAUUUGUUUGGAGAUAUCUCUGCUAGUGCUUGAUCUGUUUUCAUAUAAUAAUUUAUUUCUGUUUGUCCAGAUUAACCAGAGCCCGCAACAGAAAUCCCUGCACUGUUCGUUUGUCCCUUGGCUGAAAACCCAAGUAAGCCAACUCCAGAUAUCCAAAUGACUAUUGUUGAGUAUCCAUGAAAAAUUUAAGUGACUCCAUAUUUCCUUUGCUGUAGGGCACAGAUGGAAAACAUGGAAACUAUCUUCUCCUUCCUGACCGCAUCUCGAACAUCGAUCCUCAGCCAUCACUUUUCGCAGCUCUAGAUUGGAGAAAAUGGGAAUGUAAUUCCACGCUAUUUUUCAUACUGUAAUCUUGAUUUUUAAGGGCAUAUGUAAAUUCCAUAGUUUUCUGUAGAAAUUUUUAGUAUCGGUCUGUAAAUAAACACUAGGAUCAAUUGUAGCUUUCUGUAAUAGUAUAUAGGCACUCCUUACUGAAAAGUCACCAGUUGCCUCCCCUCUCCAUACUUGGAUGUCUUUAUGGAUUAACUUUGAAAGCGGAAUCUGUAGUAUUUUCCUAGUGAUAUCCGAGUUAAAGGUACGGACAAUCAAGUGUCUAUUCCAUGUUCUGCUUUCCUCAUUGAUUAAGUCAAACACUACUCUAAUAUUUUUAAUGUUGCUGUUAUUCUGUAUUCUGUCUACAGUCAUUCUCGGCACCCAUAGAUCAUUCCAUACUGAAAUGUGGUCUCAUUUACCAACUCUUUAGCAUAAUCCAUCUGUGAGGAGUUUUUUUGUUGACCAAAUACUCCUCCAGGUAAGUGAAGGUAAGUUACUCAAAAAAGCAUUUAAGAAGUUUGUUGUUGAAAAAUAUUUCACUUUUAAAACUUGGGCUAAUAAAGAACUCGGAUAAUUAAAAAGACGCCAACCCUGUUUUGCCAGCAAAGCUAUGUUAAAUUUAUCAAGACUUCUAAAACCUAACCCACCCAAUUCUUUUUCAAUGCAAAUAUCCUCCCAAGCACACUAAUGGAUCUCUCUUUUUUCCCCUUAUUUUUCUGCCACCAAAAUUUUGCAAUAAUACCAUCUAAUUCCUUGAAAAAAGAUUUAGGGAGUAAAAAACACGUCAUUGAGUAGGUUGGUAUAGAUUGUAAAACAGCUUUGAUGAAAACCUCUUUACCUCCUUGUGAGAGAUAUCUGAUACUCCAAUUGUCAAUUCGUUGCUUGAAUCUAUCCUUCAGCAUCUGGAACGCUGCCUUAUUCCUUCUACCCACCAGGCUAGGUAGCCCUAAAUAUCUUUCCAUAUCAUCUGAACUUCGUACCCCAAUAACUCGAAUAAUUGUUCUUCUUUCUCCUUCCUAAGUAUUGCUGCUGAAAAAAAUUGUGGAUUUUGAAAAGUUAACUUUCUGACCCGAGCAAAUUUCAUAUUCACGGAUGACCUGUUUUAAAAAAAAUUAAACCCCUCUCAGUAGCUUCCCCAAACAGUAUGCAAUCAUUCGCAAAAAGUAAAUGUGAAACAUGCGGCCCGCUUCUGCUUGUUUUGACACCUCUUAUUUUGUUCUCCUGCAUACCUAAUUUCAUAAGGCUAGAGAGACCUUCUCCAUAGAACAAGAAUAAGAACAGACUCAACGGGUCCUCUUGUCGUAAUCCUCUUGAAGGAUAAAAGAAGUCUCCAUUAUGUCCAUUAAGGACCACUGAAUAUGAAACUCUAUUAACGCAUCUUAAUAGUUGGGUCACCAACUCUGAAUCAAAACCCAUUUUCUUUAUUAUUUCCUCCACAAAAUUUCAUUCCACCCUAUCAUAUGCCUUGCUCAUAUCCAACUUGACCGCCAUAAAACCCUUCUUCCCUGACCGCUUCUGUUUCAAUGUAUGGAUUAAUUCAUAAGCCAGCAACACGUUAUCUGAGAUCAAUCUCCCAGGCACGAAAGUGCUUUGUGCAGGAUCAAUGCAUUUGUCUAACACUUUCCGAAUGCGAUUAGCAAAAACUUUAGCCAUUAAUUUGAAGAUUACAUUACACAAACUAAUAGGCCUAAAGUGCGAUAUAUCUAUUGGAUUUGAAAUUUUCAGAAUUAAAACAAUAUUUGUUCUAUUGACUGGGCCUAUCUCCAUCUUUCCAUUCAGUUGAUCAAGACAAUAAGAAGUGACCUCCUCUCUGAUAAUUGCCCAACACUUCUGAUAGAAUAACGUUGGAAAUCCAUAUUCCCCUGGUGCCUUAGUGGGCCCUAAUUCUGCCAAAGCCUGCUGAAUUUCCUCCUUUGUAUAUCUCUCUUUUAACAUUAAAUUAUCUUCAUUUGAAAUACAUCGAUGAACUCCAGAUAAAACAUGCUCAUAAUUUGCAGAUAUGCCAGUGAAAAAUAACUGUUUGAAAUAUGAUCUAGCAAUCAUUUUCAUUUCUUUUCAUUCUUCCGUCUCCCUCCCAUCAUCGUUCUUCAUUUUGUGAAUCAGGUUCCUCUGUCGUUUCUGUGUAGCUUGUUUGUGGAAAAAGGCUGUAUUUUUAUCCCCAAAUUUUAACCAGUUAACCCUCGCUAUUUGUUCCCAAAAGCACUCAUCCUUUUCGAUCUCGAAGUUAAGUUGGAUCUUUGUAUCAAUCUGGUCGGCUAGAUUUUCUUCAUUUCUUUCUGCUUCUAGUAGUGAAGCCAAUUUUGAUGAUAACAACUUCUUCCUUUCUUUUCUAGAAAAUCGAAUUUGACUAGCCCAUCGCUCCAGCCCCCUUUUCAUACUGUCCAACUUGCUUAAAAACUCUCCUUCAGAAUGUCCCAUAUGUCUUUAACCGUAUUUUAAGAACGAGUCCUCCAGUACCCACCAUGCUUCAAAUUUGAAACAUUUUUGUAUUCUCUCUCUGCACCCCUUCUUUGUGUUAACCAGUAAUGGGCAAUGGUCAGAAAACGUAUAUGGAAGAUGUUGAAGCUAAAAAUCAGGAAAUAAAUGCAGCCAAUCUUCUGUCGCCACUCCUGUAUCUAACCGCUCUUGAAUAUUAUUUUCAGGUAAGUUCCCCCUUUCCCACGUAAACCAGUUUCCAAUAAACCCCAUAUCAGAUAAAUUAAAUUCCUCUAAAGUCUUACAAAAACCUUCCAUUCGUCCUUCCUCUCGCACUAAACCGCUUUUUUUUUCAAAACUAUACAGAAUUUCAUUAAAAUCUCCACAAAUCAUCCAUGGUAACUCCCUACCCAUACCUAACUGCCGUAAUAGGUUUCAUGUCUUAGCUCUAUCAUGUGAAUAUGGAGACCCAUAAAAACCUGUAAACCUCCGUUUGUAUCCUUCAUCCUCUUCAUCAAUGAUCACAUCAAUAUGCUGUUUUGAAAAACUCUGAAGCUGAAUAUUUUUAUACUCGCACCAAGCCAAACACAGCCCACCUCUAGAACCAUCUGAACUCACAUCAAUACCGUUUAAAAACCUACAACUCCUUCGAACUCUUUCCAUUUGAUUAUUACUUAUUUUUGUCUCCAUGAAGAAGACUACUUGGGGAUUAUAUAAGUUCAGUAUAUACCGAAAUCUCCGAAUUGUCCGUGGACUCCCCAAUCCACGGAUAUUCCAGCUUAGGAUUUUUAUUGCACUCGGUCGGCUUGCCACUUGGCAGCCACCGAUGAUUGAUGACUAACCUCUAUUGUUCUCCUACUCUUUGCCGCCAAAAUAUUUGUCUCCUCUUUGGUCAGAGCUGCUUCCAUCUCCCUUCUGUUUCUCUUCUUGCCCUCCUCACCAAUAAACACUUCAUCUUCAAGAUCAUGUUCCAUUGAGUUAUUCAUCAGAAUCCCACUCCAAUUCUCAUUUACUUCCCAUGUUUGAGAUCUACUUCCUACAAGGUUUAUCCUUAAUAUUGGUGUAACAGCCCAAUUUCGACUCUAAUCGAACAUAGUGGUUUCAGGACCACAACUCCAAGACCAAAAAAAAAUAUUUUAAUAUUAUUUUGUCUGUUUAUUUUGUGUGCAUUUGAUUGUGUGAAAUUUUCGUGUUUUAAUUUUGUUGUUUGAGUGUCCGAUUAAAUAAAAGGAUUAAAUCACGUAAAAUAAAAAUUUAAUGGUUAAAUAUGAAAGUGUCUAUUUGUUGUUGUCUUUAUAAUUUGGAGGAUUUAAGAAGCAAUUAGCCCACCAUUAGGUGAGUGGAUGGCAAUGGUCAAGAAUGACCUUAUAAUAUGUGUUAUACAUUAUAUUUUAACAAAGGUUAAUUAAGUAAAUUAAUUAUUAUGGUUAAUAUAUGUUAAAUAUAACAAAUUUAAAACAUGUUCUUCAUCUUUUUCUACCGAAACCAAGAGAGAAAAUAAGGGUUCAAAGCUUUGGAAAAUUCGGCACUUACAAAGCUUGAUUAAGGUAUGAAUAUUGUUCGGUUUUUGAUAAUUUUUAUGUUUUUGAGAUCGUUGCUUCGGGUACUAUUCGACCCAUGCUUGAAUUUUUGAUUUUGAUGAAUAUUUUGAGCUAUGCCAUUUAUGAAUAAUUGUGUUUUGUGAUGUUUGAUAAUGAAUAAUGAAAGAUAUGUUUUAGAUUAAUAUGUUUUGUAUUGGAAUUUUUGGUGAAAUUGAGUAAAUAGGGUGAAAUUGCAAAAAUAAUAUUUUUAGAGACUAAAAUGUGAAAUAAAUGAAAUGAGUGGACUUGUAUGAAGACAAGGAACAUUCGGCCCUAGCUUAGUGUGGGCAAAUUUUGUGUAUUUUGUGUUUUGUGCAAAAAGGACUAAAUUGCAAAAAGUGUAAAAUGUUAGGGGCAAAAUAGUAAUUUUCCCAUUUAUGUAUUUUUGGACUUAAUUGAAUAUUUUGAUGAAUAAAAAGGUUAAAUUUGAUUAUGUUUAGAUCAAUAAACAAAGAGAGCGGAUUUGGAUCGGGGAAAAACGAAAGUAAUCGAAUAGUCGAUCGUGUCCUUUGAUAUCCGAGGUAAGUCUAUUAGCAAUUUGAUGUUAUUAAAUCAGCAUAUAUGUAUGUAUAUCUAUUGUAUUUUGAUGAGUUGAAAUCGAAAGUAUAUAGAUUGAAUUUGGUUAAAGUAUGAAUGAUAUUUAUAUAUAUAUGUAUACAUAAGGUCCGAAUAUAUAUAAGUAUAUACAUGUAUAAACCCUUAGACUUGGUUAAAGGCAUGAAUGUUAUAUAUAUGUAUAUGUGAGUUGGAACAUAUAAGUAUAUACCUGAAUAAGUCUUGAAUAUAUUUAAAGGUAUGAAAGUUAUGUAUGUAUAUGUAAUUUCGAAUAUGUAUAUGUAUAUAUAUAUGCAUAUCUAUUGUUUAUUUGGUGAGCUAUAAUUAAAAGUAUAUGGAUCGAAAUUAGUUAAUGUAUGAAUGUUAUAUAUAUAUGCAUAAAUGAAGUUCGAACAUGUAUAUAUAUGUAUAUGAUCUUAAAUUUAGUUAAAGGUAAGACUGUUAUAUAUAUAUAAGAUUCGAAAAUGUAUAUAUUUAUGUAUAAGAUUUUGAAUUUAAUUAAAGGUAUGGACGAUAUAUUUAUAUAUAUAAGGUUCAAAUAUAUAUAUGUAUAUAUAUAGGUAUAAGUUUUUGAAUAGAAUUAAAAGUAUGAAUUCUAUAUAUAUAUACGUAGGUGUGAGGUUUGAAUAUAUAGUUAUGUGUAUAUAUAUGUAUUUGAAUUGAAUGUAAAGUAUGGACUUUACAUAUGCAUGUGUGUGGUUCGAAUAAAUAUAUAUACAUAUACAAAUACUUGAGUUGGAUUAAAAGUAUAAUUUGUAAAUGCUUAUAUGAUUCAAACAGGGAUUACAAAUUUCUUUUUGAGAUAAAGUUGAGGUUGUGAAUUAUACAUAAAUGUUAUGAACAUGUGUUGCUAUUAAGAAAUAUACGAGGAAAUCAUCUUUGUAUCUGUGAAAUUGAAAUUUUCAGGUUAAGCGCCUAGAAGGCUUAAUGCCGGUGAAUUUUUCAAAUUAUAAGUCUAGCAGGCUAAGUGCCGGUGAUUGAAAUCAGGUUAUAAACCUAGCAGGCUACGUGCCGGUGAUAUGAAUCAGGCUAUAAGCCUAGCAGGCUAAGUGCCGGUGAAUAUGUUAAAUUAUGUGAUUAUAUGCAUUAGAUAGAUUUAUAAAUAUAACUAAUUUUGGGUUAUAUAUAUAAUGAAUAAGUAUAUGAAUAUUUAUUUAUAUGUGUUCGAUGAGCUUAUAAAUGUUUCAACCUAUGAGUUUAGUGAAUAGGCAUAUAUAUAUUGGUUGAUAUGAAAAUUGUUGAAUAUACUUGUACGAAAUCGACACAUGUGGCUUAGAAGUAUAAAUGUGCAUAUGAUUCAUGUAGUUUAUAAGUGGAAAUAUAAGUUUUUGACAUAUGUUUUUGAAAGAUCAUAAACAAGCAUUCAAUGAAAUGCAAAUGAUAAGUAUAUUUGGAAUAUAUAUAUGCAAUUAAUGAUUAUGUAUGUAACUUGAUUUUUAGGUAUAUAAUGAUUAUACAUGUGAUCGUUUAUAUGUAUUUUGGUUAUGCUAUAAACUUACUAAGCUAUAAAAGCUUACUUUGAAUGUUUUUGUUCAUUUGUUUUAUAGAUUUUGGAGACGCGUUACGAGCUCGGGGAUCAUCAGCAUAGUCUAUCACACUAUCGACUUCUUUUGGUAUUUUAUUAACAGUUUGAACUCGAUCUUAUGGCAUGUAUAGGUUUGAGUAUGAUUUUGGUUAGAUUUGGAUUGUAUAUAUAUAUAAAUAGCCAUGCGAAGAUGGUUUAAUUUCCAUGUUUGUGAUCAGUUUGGUUUUUUUAAAAAAAUGGUUGUGUUUGUUCGGUAAUGCCUCGUAACCCUAAUUCGGCGACGGAUACGGGUUUGUCAUCAUUAUUAUCCAUAUUUUCAUUAUUAUCCCUAUUUUCCGCUAGAUCUCUUGAGUUAUUCCUUAUAAAUUGUCUUUUCCCAUUGUUCCCACGCCCCUGUUCCUCUCCUUCUUCUCGCAACCAUACGCUUGUCAUCAU
rnacentral:lncRNA from 1 species